ACCAAAUAGAUACCCGGGUAGUCCACGCCCUAAACGAUGCGAACUGGAUGUUGGGUACAUUACGGUACUCAGUGUCGAAAGCUAAACGCGUUAAGUUCGCCGCCUGGGGAGUACGGUCGCAAGACUGAAACUCAAAGGAAUUGACGGGGGCCCGCACAAGCGGUGGAGUAUGUGGUUUAAUUCGAUGCAACGCGAAGAACCUUACCUGGCCUUGACAUCUGUCGAAUCCUGCAGAGAUGCGGGAGUGCCGCAAGGAACGACAAGACAGGUGCUGCAUGGCUGUCGUCAGCUCGUGUCGUGAGAUGUUGGGUUAAGUCCCGCAACGAGCGCAACCCUUGUCCCUAGUUGCCGGCACGUAAUGGUGGGAACUCUAGGGAGACUGCCGGUGACAAACCGGAGGAAGGUGGGGAUGACGUCAAGUCCUCAUGGCCCUUAC
rnacentral:rRNA from 1 species